rnacentral:rRNA from 1 species
UACGUAGGGUGCAAGCGUUGUCCGGAAUUAUUGGGCGUAAAGAGCUCGUAGGCGGUCUGUCGCGUCUGCUGUGAAAACUCGGGGCUUAACCCUGGGCCUGCAGUGGGUACGGGCAGACUAGAGUGCGGUAGGGGAGACUGGAAUUCCUGGUGUAGCGGUGAAAUGCGCAGAUAUCGAGAGGAACACCUGCGGCGAAGGCGGGUAGCUGGGCCGACACUGACGCUGAUGCGCGAAAGCCAGGGGAGCGAACGGG